rnacentral:rRNA from 1 species
ACCUCAAGUCAUGUGAGAGUACCUGCUGAACUUAAGCAUAUCAAUAAGCGGAGGAAAAGAAACUAACAAGGAUUCCCCUAGUAACGACGAGUGAAGCGGGAAGAGCACAAAUUUAAAAUCUACCUGGUUUCCAGGUCGAGUUGUAAUUUGAAGAUACGUUUUUAAUGUUCCUGGUUGGACUAAAUCCUUUGGGAUAAGGUAUCGUAGAGGGUGAGAAUCCCGUAUACACCAACCGUAGGGACGUUAUUUAAUACGUUUCUAAGAGUCGAGUUGUUUGGGAAUGCAGCUCUAAAUGGGUGGUAGAUUUCACCUAAUGCUAAAUAUAAGCGAGAGACCGAUAGCGAACAAGUACAGUGAUGGAAAGAUGAAAAGAACUUUGAAAAGAGAGUUAAAUAGUACGUGAAAUUGUUGAAAGGGAAACGAUUGAAGUCAGUCAUGCCGGUGGGAAUCAACUUAGGGGAAACUCUGGGUGCACUUCUUCGCUUGGCAGGUCAACGUCGAUUUUGGAUGUCAUAAAAUGAUUGGGGGAAGGUAGCUCCUUCGGGAGUGUUAUAGCCCUUGGUAGAUGUGAUGUCCGGGAUCGAGGAUUGCAACGGAUACCCUUCGGGGCUAGCCUCCUGAUCUCUAAUCGGUGUUGGGUUACGGAUAGCAUGCUGACCGUGAUUUAAUUACUGGUUAAAAGGUUAGAGCGUGCAUAAAUUCGUUAAGGACGUUGACGUAAUGGCUUUAAACGACCCGUCUUGAAACACGGACCAAGGAGUCUAACAUGUCUGCGAGUGUU